rnacentral:rRNA from 1 species
UGUUACGCAGGUCGCUCCGUCGGUGUAAUGCGGGGGGUGUAAGCGUUGUCCUGGUGUAUUGAGUUUAAAGGGGGAGUAGGCGGGCCGUUAAGUCAGUGGUGCAAGCCUCCAUCUCAGCUGGAGAACUGCCAUUGAUACUGACGGGAUUGAGUACAGACGAGGUAGGCGGAAUUGAUUGUGUAGCGGUGAAAUGCAUGGAUACAAUCAAGAACACCGAUUGCGUAGGCAGCUUACUAGGCUGUAACGGACGCUGAGGCACGAAAGCGUGGGGAGCGAACAGGAUUAGAUACCCUGGUAGUC